AGCUUGAAGUAUUUAAUUUUAAGUAUCGUCUGCCCAGUGAUUAAUUUAACGGCCGCAGUACUUUGACUGUGCUAAGGUAGCAUAAUAAAUUGUCUUUUAAUUAAGGACUAGUAUAAAAGGCUUCAUGGGGUUAAGCUGUCUUACAUAUAUUAUUUAGAAAUUACUUUAAAAGGUGAAAACUCCUUUAUUAAAAGAAAAAAGACGAGAAGACCCUUAGAAUUUAUAUUUAAAGUAGUAGCGGUAAUACUAAUUAUAUUUUGUUGGGGCAACAAGAUAACAAAAUUUAACCUAUCUUAAUUUAGUUAAACAUAACAUAAUGUUAUAUUAAGAAAAAAUUACCUUAGGGAUAACAGCGUAAUUUCAUUAGAAGAUUGCGACCUCGAUGUUGGACUAGGAACCUUAUAGGGCAAAACUUUAAAGGGAUUGUUCUGUUCGAACAUAAUUAAAUUCCU
rnacentral:rRNA from 1 species